UACGGAGGGUGCAAGCGUUAUCCGGAUUCACUGGGUUUAAAGGGUGCGUAGGUGGGUUGGUAAGUCAGUGGUGAAAUCCCCGAGCUUAACUUGGGAACUGCCAUUGAUACUAUCAGUCUUGAAUACUGUGGAGGUUAGCGGAAUAUGUCAUGUAGCGGUGAAAUGCUUAGAUAUGACAUAGAACACCAAUUGCGAAGGCAGCUGGCUACACAAAUAUUGACACUGAGGCACGAAAGCGUGGGGAUCAAACAGGAUUAGAUACCCUGGUAGUCCACGCCCUAAACUAUGGAUACUCGACAUACGCGAUACACAGUGUGUGUCUGAGCGAAAGCAUUAAGUAUCCCACCUGGGAAGUACGAUCGCAAGAUUG
rnacentral:rRNA from 1 species